UUAUCUGUUUUUUUUUCUUUUUCAUUUGGGGGUCACCAAAUUAACUUUGCCUAUGUCCCCCGAAUAUCUAAGACCGGCCCUGCUCAGCGCUCUAGUCAGAUUUUGCUUGAUGCUCUUCUAGAAUAUAUUCUACUUCUUUUAAUCAACAAACACAAUUUUAAAUUAGCUUUCAUUUUAUUACGAACUUUCAAAUUACAUUUGAUUAUCUUAUUUUGUUUUUCUUCUUUGAAGAACUUGCUUAGAUUGUGUGAGAGACAACUCGUGCGGCUACUGUUACACUGACAAAAAUGACGGUACUUGUCUCCCUUCGUUCGACGAAGAACGAUCUUCAGUAGGACGGUGCAAUGCGUCCGCUAGUACUGAGACUUACUACAAGUGGUCGCUGGAGUACUGUCCUAGUGACUACACAUGGAUAGCUCUGCUAGGGAUGGCUGUUUUUGUCUUCGCCUUUGCCCCUGGAACGUUUUGGUUGUUUGCAGCCAUAACUUUAGUCGGCGUUAUAUUCAUGGUCAUCUUGUUGCCAGAAACAAAAAAUAAGACUCUAGAAGAGGUGGAACAGCUUUUUAUGACGCCGCGACAAAAAGGCAAUGAGGGGAAUCUAACAACAUCUUUAUGAAGAAAUUAAGUCUAAUUUUUUUUGUAUUGAGAUGGCCAUCUACAAAACGCAAUAACAUUUGAAAAAACGAUAGAAGCUCUAAAAUUGUAAAGAAGAAAGUGUCAAGGUCAAUGUUGUUUUAAUUGUCUAAGCAAUAAAACAAACAAUAAAUAGUAAUAGAAAAUU
rnacentral:sRNA from 1 species